AGAGUUUGAUCCUGGCUCAGGAUGAACGCUAGCUACAGGCUUAACACAUGCAAGUCGAGGGGAAACGAUAUUGGAAGUUUGCUUCCGAUAGGCGUCGACCGGCGCACGGGUGAGUAACGCGUAUCCAACCUGCCCACCACUUGGGGAUAACCUUGCGAAAGUAAGACUAAUACCCAAUGACGUCUCUAGAAGACAUCUGAAAGAGAUUAAAGAUUUAUCGGUGAUGGAUGGGGAUGCGUCUGAUUAGCUUGUUGGCGGGGUAACGGCCCACCAAGGCGACGAUCAGUAGGGGUUCUGAGAGGAAGGUCCCCCACAUUGGAACUGAGACACGGUCCAAACUCCUACGGGAGGCAGCAGUGAGGAAUAUUGGUCAAUGGACGAGAGUCUGAACCAGCCAAGUAGCGUGCAGGAAGACGGCCCUAUGGGUUGUAAACUGCUUUUAUAAGGGAAUAAAGUGAGUCUCGUGAGACUUUUUGCAUGUACCUUAUGAAUAAGGACCGGCUAAUUCCGUGCCAGCAGCCGCGGUAAUACGGAAGGUCCGGGCGUUAUCCGGAUUUAUUGGGUUUAAAGGGAGCGUAGGCCGGAGAUUAAGCGUGUUGUGAAAUGUAGACGCUCAACGUCUGCACUGCAGCGCGAACUGGUUUCCUUGAGUACGCACAAAGUGGGCGGAAUUCGUGGUGUAGCGGUGAAAUGCUUAGAUAUCACGAAGAACUCCGAUUGCGAAGGCAGCUCACUGGAGCGCAACUGACGCUGAAGCUCGAAAGUGCGGGUAUCGAACAGGAUUAGAUACCCUGGUAGUCCGCACGGUAAACGAUGGAUGCCCGCUGUUGGCCUGAAUAGGUCAGCGGCCAAGCGAAAGCAUUAAGCAUCCCACCUGGGGAGUACGCCGGCAACGGUGAAACUCAAAGGAAUUGACGGGGGCCCG
rnacentral:rRNA from 1 species